rnacentral:misc_RNA from 1 species
AAGUCGUAACAAGGUUUCCGUAGGUGAACCUGCGGAAGGAUCAUUAUUGAAAUAAACCUGAUGGGUUGUUGCUGGUUCUCCAGGGAGCAUGUGCACACCUUGUCAUCUUUAUAUCUCCACCUGUGCACUUUUUGUAGACCUGAAAAGGUCUAUGUUGCUUCAUUUUACCCCAAUGUAUGUUAAUAGAAUGUUGUACCUAUAUAAUAUAUACAACUUUCAGCAACGGAUCUCUUGGCUCUC